rnacentral:rRNA from 1 species
UUUAACGGCCGCGGUACUUUGACCGUGCGAAGGUAGCGCAAUCACUUGUCUUUUAAAUGGAGACCUGUAUGAAUGGCAUAACGAGGGCUAAGCUGUCUCCUUUCUCCAGCCAAUGAAAUUGAUCUGCCCGUGCAGAAGCGAGCAUAAAAACAUAAGACGAGAAGACCCUAUGGAGCUUCAGACACAGGACAGCCCGUGUUAACAAACCUUAGCAAAAAGACCAAACAAAACGACCCUGUCCCCUGUCUUCGGUUGGGGCGACCGCGGGGGAACAAAAAUCCCCCACGUGGAAUAGGGGUACACCCUUAAAAAUAGGGCCACAGCCCUAAUAAACAGAAAUCUGACCAAUAUGACCCGGCAAGCCGAUCAACGGACCCAGUUACCCUAGGGAUAACAGCGCAAUCCUCUUUUAGAGCCCAUAUCGACAAGAGGGUUUACGACCUCGAUGUUGGAUCAGGACAUCCUAAUGGUGCAGCCGCUAUUAAGGGUUCGUUUGUUCAACGAUUAAAGUCCU